rnacentral:miRNA from 1 species
CUGGCCCUCUCUGCCCUA